CAAUAUUUGAUUGGGCCAACUUAAAGAGAAUGGGUGCGAAGUUAAAGUCUUGAAAAUGGCGUGUGCUUAGUCUCCUCCACCUUUACCCUUCCUCUGCAGAUGUGCGCUUCACCCCUCAUCCACAACAAGCAGGGAGUGCAUCAACACCAAUUGUAUUUUCCCCUGGAUAGAUUUUUAAGCAAAGCAACAGUUCGAGCAGCUCAAAAGAUUCUUGGAUCUUGCCGUUCAAGUAAACACACAUACUUUCCACGAAAGGAAGCCGUCAUCGUCGUUUGAUGUCAUGUACAAUAUUUCUACAUGAAACUUACUCGUAUAAUUUGGAUGUGGACUAUUGCUCUGAAAUAGUUAUAUCUGGAUAUUGGGUGGGACCUAAUGCUGAUGAUGGGUGGGGAUUUCUGGAAGCUGUAAUUAAUCAAAUGAAUUGAUCUUGAUUCUUCUUAUUAUUAUUUUAGAUAAGGGUUAAUUUUUUGCUUCAUUUUUAUCAGAGAUUAAAUGUCUGUGAGGCAGUUUCUAUUCUUGAAAGGCUGCAUAAACUAACCGAUCUUUUGGAAAAUUGAGAGUAUCAUAUAUAAAAGAAUACUGGAGAGGUAUAUCUAUUAUUGAUGCAGUUA